rnacentral:lncRNA from 1 species
CUACAUGUAGCCUAUCUUUUUUAGGGUAGCUGCGUGUGGUCAAACAUAACAGGGAGGCAAGUGAUAUUAGGUGAUACUUCUUUACUAAAUUUGACUGACAUAGAAAGAAAGGUAUUACAGAAAGUAGCUAUAGCAAAAUUACAAGCGUUAAAUUUGGGCGUCAAUAUCAAAGUACCAACUGAAGCUGCAGCUGGUGUUUCAUCAAAACCAAAAAGAAGGCCAUAUUUGCUCAAGAGGAAGGCUUUAACAACGGGCAUUUUUGAUGCCAGUCGAAAAGAGGCAGAAAAAGAUAAGG